rnacentral:rRNA from 1 species
CACAAGCGGUGGAGCAUUGUGGUUUAAUUCGACGCAACGCGAAGAACCUUACCAGGGCUUGACAUCCCCUGACCGCGUAUGAAAGUACGUUUUCACCCUCGGGUGACAGGGAGACAGGUGGUGCAUGGUUGUCGUCAGCUCGUGUCGUGAGAUGUUGGGUUAAGUCCCGCAACGAGCGCAACCCCUACGUUUAGUUGCUAACGCGUGAAGGCGAGCACUCCAGACGAACUGCCGUUGACAAAACGGAGGAAGGUGGGAUGACGUCAAAUCAUCAUGCCCCUUAUGUUCUGGGCUACACACGUGCUACAAUGGCCGGUACAGACGGACGCAAAGCCGCGAGGUGGAGCAAAUCCUAAAAAGCCGGUCUCAGUUCGGAUUGCAGGCUGCAAUUCGCCUGCAUGAAGUCGGAAUCGCUAGUAAUCGCAGGUCAGCAUACUGCGGUGAAUACGUUCCCGGGCCUU